rnacentral:rRNA from 1 species
UACGUAGGGUGCAAGCGUUAAUCGGAAUUACUGGGCGUAAAGCGUGCGCAGGCGGCUCUGCAAGACAGAUGUGAAAUCCCCGGGCUUAACCUGGGAACUGCAUUUGUGGCUGCAUGGCUGGAGUGCGGCAGAGGGGGAUGGAAUUCCGCGUGUAGCAGUGAAAUGCGUAGAUAUGCGGAGGAACACCGAUGGCGAAGGCAAUCCCCUGGGCCUGCACUGACGCUCAUGCACGAAAGCGUGGGGAGCAAACAGG